rnacentral:tRNA from 1 species
GGGGAUAUGGCGGAAUGGUAGACGCAGCGGACUCAAGGACCGUGAGGGUUCGACUCCCUCUAUCCCCA